CAUUAUUUAUUACAAUUAUCAAGUCAUAUUAAUUAAUUUAUAAAAUCCGAUGAAUCCAAAACUAUAGCUUGAUAGGCAAAUGGGAAUAUCAUUAUAUGAAAAUUGUACGCAGAAGCAUAUUUUGUAUAUCCAGUAACCAUAUGCAUUAUGUACAUGUAGUGUCAACGUGAAUUGUGAGAGAAAAGUACAUCAAAACACAUCCCACAUUUCAGUGUAACACCAGUUGGUAUACAUGUUUGUAUCUUGUAUCAUGAUACAUUUAUUUUUCAUGGUAAUAUGCAAGGUCCAUGUUCUGUAUUAACGGUAUGAUACAUGGUUUUUUUCUAGUACCAUGCAAGGUCAAUGUAUUGAUAUUCAUCAAAUCAUUCUUUGGUGAUGGAUAAAUAUCUAGUACAUAGUUGAAAAAGUAGAUAAGUGAAAACUUUGAAAUUGGAAAAAAUAGAACUGAAAAUUUUCUGACUGAACAUGAUGUACCUGUAAAAAUAUUAAGAUUUUAGUGAUGUAAUAUGAUAACUAAAGGCAACGCAUUUAUUUACAUGUAACAUGUAAAAUUUUAAUUGUACAUGAGGAGAUGAGAGUUUGUCACAAUUCUAUCAUACAUGAUUGAACAGGGUGAACAUAUCUAGAUGGUAUACACCUAGCUGCAAGCAGAGGCAUCAUAUUUUGUUUUGGGCAUUAACAAGAUUGUUUUGAAUACUAAAUAAGUUGUAUUUAUUAAUAUGGAUUUUUGUUGUUGGUGUUGAUUUCUUCUUUGAAAAAAAAAAAAACAGUCCAAAACUUUUUUCUUCUACAUACUGCAGUACAUGUACUCUUUGCAAAUGUUAAUUUGUGAGAGUGACAUGCAAUCAUGAAAAUCCCAGUUUGUUCAAGAUUAUCCUCCAAAUGUUCUUGCUGAGUUUUAAUGUUAACAUCAUAUUCUCCCAACGUACCAUGUAUGCUGAGCAAACACGUACAUGUAAGAGAUUCUCCCAUUGCUCAAGAUGUAAAUAAAAAAAACAUAUCAGAUAUUUCCACAUGUACACGUGAGAAUGUGAUUGUAUACAAGUCUUUGUACUUGAUAAUAUUUUGUUGACUUGUACUUGAUAGUAUUUUGUUGACUUUUGUUAAACAAUAAAUAGACAGGAAUUUUC
rnacentral:sRNA from 1 species